AAUGAUCUGGGAAUUUACCGCCAAUUGUCUAGGGAAAAACAAAAAUGAAAUUACCGCAGAACAGUCGCAAUGGCCGAGGAUUGGAGUCUCUGUAAUUUUCUUCUCUUUGAGACGGGUAAAGAAUUUCUGUUCCUACAACGUUUUACUUCCGAUUCAGGGAAAAAAUAAAACUGUUCAAAGGGGAUGAAGAAAGAAGUGUGUGCUUGCUCUCAGAGUGGAAAGGGGCCAUGUGGUUGUGUGCACUUAGCCACAUGAUUAGUUAUCAAGCAAGUACAGUAACGAUCCUAAUGAUGGUCAAUGGCAAUUGCAGAAUUGGCUUACUUGAUUGAAUCAUGAAAAGAGUCAUCGAAAGUAGCAGUGUAAGUUUCCAUAAAUGGUAAUAGUGCACCCACAUGCCUCGACCUUUCUGGAGAAGCGGUGAGGGACAACAACUUGUAAAGCAACCUGACAAUGAGCUGAGUACUGGUUGAAAGGUGCAUUGCACAGUUAAUUCUAGUGUGGGACCUGUUAAUCACGUGGGGGACGCUGCCUGUUGCUAAUGGGAUUGCUCUAAUUCUACAAGACAAGGAAAUUGUCAUUUGCAAAUCUCUAAUCCCCACUCCACCAAUAAUCAUCCAUCUCCCACGUGGGAGUCCGGGCCCCUCUCCUAGUAUUACUUCUUUCUUCACAAUAUAUAGUUGCUCCUUUCUCAGCUCAUGAUCUCACUUAUCACACACCACCAUAUUCCUUCUCAGCAUUUCUU